UCCUAAACUAACGUAAACAAAUAUCUUUCUUUGGGCCUUAGGCCCAAUUUUUCACCUGUCCUAAACUCUUACAACAUAAUAAACAUAAUGACUAAAUGGGAUUAGGCCCAAUAAAAACAAAAUACAAUCCUUUUUAUAUAAAGAGUGGGCCUUUGGCCCAAUCUUUUCAAUUCUUCUCCGCUUUCGCAUUUUUCCACCUUCGAGACUUGUUCGUCGAUUUUUAUAGGCCGGAUGACUCGAAAAAGGAUUGGGCCUCCGUGGCCCAACAAGAAAAUGCGAGGACAGAGUCCAUGAGGACUCGGGUAGAUUUCACAUGCAUAAAGGAGAUAAAAUUAGCAUACGACUCAACCAAAAUGGACAGAGAAAAGAAUAUGCUACAUUA
rnacentral:lncRNA from 1 species